rnacentral:rRNA from 1 species
UACAGAGGUCUCAAGCGUUGUUCGGAUUCAUUGGGCGUAAAGGGUGCGUAGGUGGCGCGCUAAGUCAGGUGUGAAAUUUCGGAGCUUAACUCCGAAACUGCAUUUGAUACUGGCGUGCUUGAGGACUGGAGAGGAGACUGGAAUUCAUGGUGUAGCAGUGAAAUGCGUAGAGAUCAUGAGGAAGACCAGUGGCGAAGGCGGGUCUCUGGACAGUUCCUGACGCUGAGGCGCGAAGGCUAGGGGAGCGAACGGG